CCUGUGACAUCUGAUUUGAGGCCGCUUAACCCAUAUAUAUGGCCUAGACUAUCUUAGGAAAAUAGCUUCGAUGAUACAUAUCUGAUCAUCUCUGAUCAUAGUCUUUUAUCUGGUGAUGCUAGAUGGUGUGCUAUUUUGUUCUCUCCAGAAUGCAUACGGAGCUAGCAGAUCGAUUAGCCCACAAAUAAAACACGGAAAAACUAUUUAUGGAUAUUGUAAUUAACAUUGAAUCCCUGUUAUCUUUCGUUUUAAUAUGAGGUUUAUGGUUUACAUAAAAAUAAAAUCCUAUCAAUUUCAACCAA